AGGGAGCAGGAGAGAAAUAGAGAGAGGGUGACAGAACUAGAGAGCCAGAGCAUUAAAGCCUGGGAGAGGGAGCUCUCUGCUCUCGUAGACAGGGCUCCUUCCAGCAGGGGUAGGGUGGAGGGUGCUUGAGCCUGGCGGGAACAGGUGGGCAGGCCGCCCAUGCAAGAGGACCAACAGAACCCUGAGACGUAUUUUUGCUUGGAUUGGUUGCUUGCUUUUGGGGUGCGUUUCAUAGGGUCCUUUUGUUGGCUACUCCCUAUCUUCUUGGUGCAGUGGGCACCGAGAUUUGGAGAGUGCGUCCUUCCCUCUGGUGGGAGCCCUGGCGCAGAGCGUGCCGACCGGGCCGAGGCCUGGGUCUCUCUCGUGUCCUCAGGACUGGAGUUGACACGAAGACGGUGCCAAUGGGAAUCCGGGUGCACAGAGACGGAUUGCCUCGUGACUGGCGAAGGCAAUGUCCUUCCCCUGGGGAAAGCAGCCCAUAGGUCCAGGAGCAGAGGUUUUGGAUGGUGUCUGUGGGACCUCUGUCCCUGGCCGCCACUUCCCCCACCGGCUUGAACUAUUGCAUGGUGCCAGAUGAGUAAAUUGAAUUGCCUGGGCGUCCCGGGAGCGUGAAGACACGGGUCACCUCAGGGAACAUAUACCGUCCUGCCACGGCUGGAGCCGGGCACCUGGUGGGGCUGCAGCAAGAAGGAGGAUGUGGGAUGCUGUUGCCUGGCGGUGCUGCAGCGGUGGAACCCCACGAGGAGGUCCCGGGUUGCUUUGGGGCCGCAGUACUCCCUUCAGCAUUCCUUGUAGGACAGUCAUGGUAUUGAUGAAAUCCUUCAACUUUUGUUUGUCUGGAAAAGUCAGUAUUUCUUCUUAUUAUUUGAAGGACAUUUUCGCUGUAUAUGCUAUUCUAAGGAUUUGUCGCUGAUGCCUUACUUCAUUCACUUUGUGAGGUCAUGUUUUCCUGGAUGGUGACAAUGCUAGCAGAUGUUCUUCAGUGUCUGGACAUUAAAACUUUGGCAUGCAGCACCACAUAAGAUGUGAAAAAAAGAUUUUUUUUAAAAAAAAGAUGAGCAUUAAUUGUAGACUUCACUGUGUGGGGUUAUUCGUAGCUAUCUUUCUUGGGAAGGAUUUCCACAUAUUUGAAAAGAACCCAGAGUUGAUCUCUGCACCACGCCAUCACUGCUGGUGGUGAGGAAAUGGUGCCUCUUUCAGUGAUAUGAAGUUAAAACCAGGAGGGAAGAUCAGUGGAGCCUUCUUUCUGCCAUCUUGUGUUACCUUUGCAGCCAAGAAUCAGAAUGAAGAACUUUCAAUAAGAAAAGCUUUCAGAACCAGGAAGGACGUAGAAGAUGUCCUGGUUCUGUACGUUUAACAUUGGACUGUUUCUUCAACUUAGGUGCAUAACAGUGACUAAUCAGGGAUUAUCAUAGAUAAUUUGACUUGGAAUAUAGAGUUCAUUCAAAUACUUUAUCUAGACAAUUUAAGUACUGGCUGAUUUGGCAUGAAAAUCUGACAAACUAUUUUCUUGGUAUUCAAUUGAUUUUUACUCUGUUUGCUGUAGUAGUUUUAUAAACCAAUCAGUCUUCAUUAAAGUUCUGGGAAUUCUUACCCUGUUCAAAUGAUAUGAUUCUAACGUUGUCAAAAAUCUGUAUUCAAGAAUACUUCUCAGGACCUUUUCCAUCCUUUCAUGAAACUCCUUAAAGAUACAGUAUUCUAUAAUUUUGCAAGCUUGUAAAGUUUUCAGAAUUUGAAAUGCCUCACAAUUAAGCAAUUUACUGUAGAAAUGAUUUUAAAUUUUCAUAGACACAGUUGACAAGAAAAUUUUAUUAUUUACAGGAGUGACCCACCACACCAGGCCUCUGAAGUUCAUUUAAUAAAAUUUUAUAAAUAAAUUUA
rnacentral:lncRNA from 1 species